UACGUAGGCAGCAAGCGUUGUUCGGAGUUACUGGGCGUAAAGGGUGCGUAGGCGGUCCUAUAAGUAUGGUGUGAAAUCUCCCGGCUUAACUGGGAGGGUGCGCUAUAGACUGUGGGACUAGAGUGUGGGAGAGGAAAGUGGAAUUCCUGGUGUAGCGGUGAAAUGCGUAGAGAUCCGGAGGAACACCAGUGGCGAAGGCGACACGCUGGGCCGUACCUGACACUGAUGCGCGACAGCAUGGGGAGCAAACAGG
rnacentral:rRNA from 1 species